GCCCCUGUCUGCAGCCUGCAGAUUUGGGCGGGUAUGCACCUGGGACGGUGCUGCACGUGCAGGCCCGCCCACACUGCUUCUCAUUGGUUAGUGGCGUGAAGUCAUGACGUCGAUUAUAGCAAGUUUUCAUUUCCGAUGUUUAUCGCUGCAUGGUCAGAGAUGCUGAAAGAGCAACUCCAGUAAAAGAGGAGCGUAAAGAAGCAGGUGUUGGUUCCCAUUUCAAAUCUUGAACCUAAAUAACAGGGGUUUGAAAAUGAUGCUACUCUUGUUCUUACUCUCCAAUUUAGAGGUGAUGAAAUCCCCCGGCCUGUGGAUUAUUCGACCAAGAUGCCACCUGACCUUACAUCUUCUGGCAGAUCCUGAUGGGAGUCGUAACAAAGAGGACGAUAUGGCUUUAUGGUGACUUUCCCUGACAUGCAAGGUUUUCAGAGACGUUUUCAGCAAGCCCAAGUUCAGAGAAAAGGUCCCCUUUGUAUGUCCAAACAGUGUUGUGAACUGGAGUGCAUUUUCCAGACAAUAUGGGCAAGAGCUCCGGGUGCCCUACUCGUUGACUUUGAAAUAUACAAGGACUGCCCACCUGGAUAUGUAGGUGAUGGCAGAAGGGGAGUCCUGAAUGGGUUUUAUUCCGACAAGGAGGUUCAGGGCUAUUGCUCAUUUGAUUGUUUUUUCAAUGAUGGAGGGGAACUUCAGGCUGUGUAGAUUGUGUGUGUACGGUUAAUGUACGUGAUUAUCUGUAUGUGUAUAUUAUGUCUUUUAAACAAUUAUUUUUGUUUUGAAAUAAAAGUUAUCACUGGUA